AGGUGCGAUCAUACCAGCAUUAAUGCACCAGAUCCCAUCAGAACCCCACUGCUAAGCGCGCUUGGGCUAAAGUAGUACCAGGAUGGGUGACCUCCUGGGAAGUCCUAGUGUUGCACCCU
rnacentral:rRNA from 1 species